rnacentral:tRNA from 1 species
UCCCUGAUGGUUCAGUGGUUAAGAAUCUGCACUUCUGAUGCAGGGGGCAGGGUUUAAUUCCUGGUCUGGGAA